rnacentral:rRNA from 1 species
UACGUAGGGUGCAAGCGUUGUCCGGAAUUAUUGGGCGUAAAGGGCUCGUAGGCGGUCCAUCGCGUCGGGAGUGAAAAGCUGGGGCUUAACCCCAGUCCUGCUUCCGAUACGGGUGGACUAGAGGUAGGUAGGGGAGAACGGAAUUCCUGGUGUAGCGGUGAAAUGCGCAGAUAUCAGGAGGAACACCGGUGGCGAAGGCGGUUCUCUGGACCGGUACUGACGCUGAUGCGCGAAAGCGUGGGGAGCAAACGGG